GAUGGACCCGCGGUGCAUUAGCUAGUUGGUGAGGUAACGGCUCACCAAGGCAACGAUGCAUAGCCGACCUGAGAGGGUGAUCGGCCACACUGGGACUGAGACACGGCCCAGACUCCUACGGGAGGCAGCAGUAGGGAAUCUUCGGCAAUGGACGAAAGUCUGACCGAGCAACGCCGCGUGAGUGAAGAAGGUUUUCGGAUCGUAAAACUCUGUUGUUAGAGAAGAACAAGGAUGAGAGUAAAAUGUUCAUCCCUUGACGGUAUCUAACCGGAAAGCCACGGCUAGCUACGUGCCAGCAGCCGCGGUAAUACGUAGGUGGCAAGCGUUGUCCGGAUUUAUUGGGCGUAAAGCGAGCGCAGGCGGUUUCUUAAGUCUGAUGUGAAAGCCCCCGGCUCAACCGGGGAGGGUCAUUGGAAACUGGGAGACUUGAGUGCAGAAGAGGAGAGUGGAAUUCCAUGUGUAGCGGUGAAAUGCGUAGAUAUAUGGAGGAACACCAGUGGCGAAGGCGGCUCUCUGGUCUGUAACUGACGCUGAGGCUCGAAAGCGUGGGGAGCGAACAGGAUUAGAUACCCUGGUAGUCCACGCC
rnacentral:rRNA from 1 species